GCAGCAGAAAGACGUGCUGAGUGUAAAGCUGUCAGCAGGGGGAAUAACACAGGGCUGUGAAUGAGUCCUGUCACUGUGAUCAGGCUCCUCCUUCUAAUCCACCAACUUAGUGUUGAUGAAGACUAAACAGAGAGAUCACAGCUUCUUUAUACUUGCUGUAGCUCACAGUUACUCUACACUGCAGAUAUGACGCCUCUGUUCAUCUCAGUGCUGCUGGCUGCUAUGUGCCUCGAAUGCAGAGCACAAAAAGACAACGUGCUGCAAGCAAAAGGAGAAGAGACUGCUGCUGCAGGAGGCACAGUAACACUUGGCUGUCUCUAUAACAGCAGCUCAACAGCUCCUUCUCUCUUCGGGUACAAACAGGAUGGAAACAACAGCCCCAAAUUCAUCCUGAGUCGUGUUAGCAGGGAUGAUGGAAACACAGCAGCUGAGUUCAAGGAGAGAUUUUCAUCCACACUGGAUUCCAGCAACAGAUCAGCUCCUCUGAAGAUCCAGAAGCUUCAGCUGUCUGACUCUGCUGUGUACUACUGUGCUCUGCAGCCCACAGUGACAGGAAACACCAAAACUCUGUACAAAAACCUUUGGAGCAAAGACAACAGAAUACUCCACAACAUCCACUAGAGGGAGCCACACACUGUUAAACCUCUGAUUCUGUUACUGUGACUGAAACGUGCUUCUGGUUACACUGACUGGCUUCAUCUUCUUUUGGUCAACAUGCAACAAAUUGUUUUGUAAAAUGUUGAUG